UACGUAGGGGGCAAGCGUUGUCCGGAAUCAUUGGGCGUAAAGAGCGCGUAGGCGGCCCGAUAAGUCCGCUGUGAAAGUCAAGGGCUUAACCCUUGAAUGCCGGUGGAAACUGUCGGGCUAGAGUCCGGAAGAGGCGAGUGGAAUUCCUGGUGUAGCGGUGGAAUGCGCAGAUAUCAGGAGGAACACCAAUAGCGAAGGCAGCUCGCUGGGACGGUACUGACACUGAGGCGCGAAAGCGUGGGGAGCGAACAGG
rnacentral:rRNA from 1 species